rnacentral:rRNA from 1 species
GAUAGAGGGUGCAAACGUUGCUCGGAAUCACUGGGCGUAAAGGGCGUGUAGGCGGGAAGGAAAGUCAGAUGUGAAAGCCCUGGGCUCAACCCAGGAACUGCAUUUGAAACUCCCUUUCUUGAGUGUCGGAGAGGAAAGCGGAAUUCCUGGUGUAGAGGUGAAAUUCGUAGAUAUCAGGAGGAACACCGGUGGCGAAGGCGGCUUUCUGGACGACAACUGACGCUGAGACGCGAAAGCGUGGGGAGCAAACAGG